AGUAACGCGUGGGCAACCUGCCUUAUACAGGGGGAUAACAGCUGGAAACAGCUGCUAAUACCGCAUAAGCGCACAGUGCUGCAUGGUACAGUGUGAAAAACUGAGGUGGUAUAAGAUGGGCCCGCGUCUGAUUAGCUGGUUGGGAGGGUAACGGCCUACCAAGGCGACGAUCAGUAGCCGGCCUGAGAGGGCGGACGGCCACAUUGGGACUGAGACACGGCCCAGACUCCUACGGAAGGCAGCAG
rnacentral:rRNA from 1 species